CCUACGGGAGGCAGCAGUGAGGAAUAUUGGUCAAUGGACGCAAGUCUGAACCAGCCAUGCCGCGUGCAGGAAGACGGCUCUAUGAGUUGUAAACUGCUUUUGUACGAGGGUAAACGCCGUUACGCGUAUUUGUCUGUAAGUAUCGUAUGAAUAAGGACCGGCUAAGUCCGUGCCAGCAGCCGCGGUAAUACGGAGGAUCCGAGCGUUAUCCGGAUUUAUUGGGUUUAAAGGGUGCGUAGGCGGUCGGUUAAGUUAGAGGUGAAAUCCCGAGGCUCAACUUCGGAAUUGCCUCGGAUACUGUUCGGCUAGAGAGUGGUUGCGGUAGGCGGAAUGUAUGGUGUAGCGGUGAAAUGCUUAGAGAUCAUACAGAACACCGAUUGCGAAGGCAGCUUACCAAGCUACUUCUGACGUUGAGGCACGAAGGCGUGGGGAGCAAACAGGAUUAGAUACCCGAGUAGUC
rnacentral:rRNA from 1 species